GCUGAAUUGGAGCAGAGAUGGAUUCAGGCUAUGAAAGCCCAUGAACAUUCUUAUGGCACCAGGCGUGUGCUUCAUCCUGGAGAGACCUAAAGCCCUCCACAUUCUGCUUGCUAUCAUGGAAGGCACAGGUGUCCGUGUGUUUGGGGCAAAAAAAUGAAUCUCUGCUGACAAUUGUAAAGAAAGAGAGAACAGCUGUUUGCAUCUGGA